ACCGUUUUCAUCAUUUACUCUCUUUUUCUCCACUUCCCGAUCUUCUCCUUUUCUCACGCCACGAUCAUCUCACCGUGCUUCGCACGACUACAAAGAUAUCAUAUCACUCUCGACGAUUCGUCAAUCUUGGGUUAAAUCAUGAACCAACCAACGCUUCGAUAUCAUCUUGACUCGAGCCACAGCCGCAAAACUUCCUCCAGUCUAGCCCACACUACUAUCACUAGCUCCGAGUGGUCUGAAUCUUCUCGCACGUUUUCUGAAUUAUUCCAGAUGAAACAGAAGACAGACACGCUAUUUACAAGAAUAAAGAGUUAUGAACACGAACGGCUAUUACGGAUCGCGUGACCGAAUCGGAUCCCUGAUACGGCGUCCUCGUGCAACGUUUCGAGGAAAUCGGAAUGCAUCGGAUGGUCGUUUGUUGUAAAUUUCGCCGGAUUUUCAUCUACAUUCUAUGAAAAAGCAGUCGAUGUAAAAUUCAUCGGGUCUAAAAUUGCAGACCGCAUUUCCGUUGACGAAGGAAAACGGUAUGUGGUUGUGCGCAAUGAGGGCAAAAAAGUUGUACGGAAAAAGGUAUACGCGUGUAAGCGUCGCGGUGGUUAUAUAGGUAUAUAGGCGUCGACGUUGACGUCGAGGAAGAGAAGAAAAGGAAAAAGAAGAAGGAGGAGGAGCAGGAAUACGAUGGCAGGUGCCAGGGGGACGCAACAAUCUCAUUAGUUCUGCAAUUUUGAUGUCAGAGUCCUCCGACCCAAGAUGGUUGGCACGUGCUUCAACCUUCUACCUCCGGUUAAACUUCCAUUCUGCCGGCAGUGGAGCACACCAAAGUCAGAAGUCUCAGAACCAGCCCGGAUGGAUGCGAUCAACGAGCUCUCGCCGACAAGGAUGAAAUAAAAAAAAAAAAAAAAAGUUAAUCGAAAAAUAUGCAAUGUCCAAUACCGUCAAUUACCGAUUUUCCAUAAACCCUGACGCAGCGGGAUUUAUCCGCACACGCCAGCGUCGACGAGGAACGGCAAAAAAAGUGAAAAUAAUCAGAAACAAAAAAGAGAAAAAAUGAAAAAAGAUGUUCACGAUACUUGGAAGAGCAUUGCUUAAUGUCGACGAUAAAAAUCCAAAGAACCGAUUAAAUCGUCAAUUUUCCCUUCCUUUUGAUCGCUUUCAUUUAAUAUCACAAAUCAGAUCGACGUAGAAAAAAAUCACCCACUGUUUGGAUAAUGUACGUAUAUAUUCUUCCCCCCGAAGUAUAUUUUUUUACUUACUUUGCAUUAAUCAACUGACGACGAACAUCUGGGAAGAAAGGAAAUUAAUUGAAGGGCACAAGAAUUAUUUGACAUUAUCGACUGUUUUGAAAAUAUCCUAUACGGUACAGCGGAGGCGGCAUCAUUCUCCAGACAAUAUUCGAACAUUUUUAGAUACAUCACAUUCUGUCCGUCCAAUUUCACCUUAUACCUCCCGUGCGCUGCUGUUGGUUUUCCCCUCAACGUUUCCCAACUUUCUUUAUUUAUACAUAAAAGAGAAAAGGAACAAAGAAAACACGCCGAAAUAAGAGGGGAAUAAAAAAUGAGGAAAAAGACUAGAAAUGAAAUACGCAUAGGAUCGUCGUAAGCCCAACAAAGAAAUGAACAACCGACGCCGGAGGGUCAACGUUCGUGUAAACGAGGCUCAGAAAAUGGGAUUUUACUAUUGCGAACUUUACGGCUUUGAAUGCUCCACACUUUUCACAAACAAGAUGCAAUUUCAUUUCGCGUUCCUGAAACACAGCGGACUGUUACUCGGAGUAUUUUCUAGACAUUUUUGUAGACGAAAACAAAAUAGGUGAAAAAAUAUAGAUGAAACCGUAAACCGCGUUUUCUGAUUAAAGUCGAGGUGCGUUUUCAGCGCAGCAGAAGUUAAGUAUCUCACGUAUUUUAAUGAUCGUCGUACGAUCAAUACGGCUCUCUGUUCUCCAACUUAGGUGGGUGAAAUAAUAAGGAAGCAAAAAAAGAAAAAGAGGUGCAAGGAAAAUGGAAGGAACUGGGGGGGAAUAGGAACAGUGUUAAUUGGCAAUCAAUGUUAAUUAAUUUGAAGAAAGGUCAUAAUUUGAAUAUGUUCGACAAAAAGUCGAAUAUUGAGAAGUUUCGCGAAGUUACGCGCGCUCGAGCUUUCGAAAAUACAAAACAAUUCGGAUGUAAAUAUUGGAAAAUAGUUUUGCACUUUUCGUUCGAACGUCUAUCAAAUGUUUGAAUCAACGUUAUACUACAACGGAACUUUCCUCCAGCUGACGUUUCUGAUAAGUAAAACAGACGAAAGAAAAGAAAAGAAAAGAAACGAACUGUAUCUCUGAUAUUUUUGAAAAAAUUCGUAUCUGUUAAUACGUUUUUCUGGCUAUCAAAUAUGCCUAGCGUAUAUCGCGCGAGAUUCGUUAUUUGACAAUGGGAUAUCGCGAUGGAUAUAUAGGUAUAUACGUACGUUCGCGGCAGGUCAGGGCAACAGAAUUUCUCCGGCAAAAUUUGUAUACACAAAUUGUGCGAUGUAUCUCGUUAUCUACUACGGUACCGGCUGCUGUUGCA